ACUCAAAUGAAUUGACGGGGACCUACACAAGCGGUGGAGCAUGUGGUUUAAUUCGAUAAUAAGCGAGAAACCUUACCAGGACUUGACAUCUCGAGAAUCCUCCAGAAAUGGGGGAGUGCCGCAAGGAACUCGAUGACAGGUGUUGCAUGGUUGUCGUCAGCUCGUGCCUUGAGGUGUACUGUUAAGUCAGGAAACGAGCGCAACCCACAUCGUAUGUUACUUAUUUCAUGCGAGACUGCCGACUCCAAGUCGGAGGAAGGUGUGGAUGACGUCAAAUCAGCAUGGCCCUUAUGUCCUGGGCUACACACGUGCUACAAUGGCCGAUACAGAGGGUCGCAAAGCCGAAAGGCGAAGCCAAUCUCACAAAAUCGGUCUCAGUUCGGAUUGAGGGCUGCAACUCGCCCUCAUGAAGUUGGAAUCGCUAGUAAUCGUGAAUCAUCACGUCACGGUGAAUAUGUUCCUAGGUCUUGUACACACCGCCCGU
rnacentral:rRNA from 1 species